UCCUACGACUACGCUAUCACUCCUACGGGAGGCAGCAGUGGGGAAUAUUGCACAAUGGGGGAAACCCUGAUGCAGCCAUGCCGCGUGUGUGAAGAAGGCCUUCGGGUUGUAAAGCACUUUCAGUAGGGAGGAAGGUAGUGUAGUUAACACCUGCAUUAUUUGACGUUACCUACAGAAGAAGCACCGGCUAACUCCGUGCCAGCAGCCGCGGUAAUACGGAGGGUGCGAGCGUUAAUCGGAAUUACUGGGCGUAAAGCGCAUGCAGGCGGCCUGUUAAGUCAGAUGUGAAAGCCCGGGGCUUAACCUCGGAAUUGCAUUUGAAACUGGCAGGCUAGAGUCUUGUAGAGGGGGUAGAAUUUCAGGUGUAGCGGUGAAAAUGCGUAGAGAUCUGAAGGAAUACCAGUGGCGAAGGCGGCCCCCUGGACAAAGACUGACGCUCAGAUGCGAAAGCGUGGGGAGCAAACAGGAUUAGAUACCCUGGUAG
rnacentral:rRNA from 1 species